rnacentral:tRNA from 1 species
GCCGUGAUCGUAUAAGUGGUUAGUACUUCUCGUUGUGGCCGAGACAACCCAGGUUCGAAUCCUGGUCACGGCA